CAUGCUUAGGAUUUCUAACUUAACGACUGUGCAGUCGAGACCUUUAGCAAGCCCCUCCUCAAGGUAGCGGGGCUUGGAAUAGAAGAGGGGGCGGCGUAAUCGAAGACGGAACGAAUAGGUCAGGGUGGAGGGGCUGUCACUCCGCCUCCGGUACGGCGGCGCCGGCAGCGUCGCACGCAGGUCCGGCCGGGGAGGCGCACGAGGAGCGGCUGCGACUCCGUGGUCCUGCUGCGCGAGAAACAAGGCAGAACCCGCAUCGGCUCGCGGUCGGCAGAGCUCCACAGUCCAGCGCGGCGGCGCAGUCCGCAGGUUCCGCCGGGGAGGAGCACGAGGAGCGGCUGCGGCCCCGUGGAACUGCGGCACGAGAGGCAAAGCAAACCCCGCGUCGGCUCACGGCGACGCCGUCCGCAGCUCCGGCGGAGGUAAGCUCGCGAGGAGCGACUGCUGCUCGUGGCCUGGCGGCCAAAAGUCCCAAGUAUGACUCGCCAGGACGUCGGUGCGGGCUCGACGCGUCGAGCGGAGGUUGGGACGUCGUCGGCGACGGAACGGCACGCUGGCCGCUCCGGGGCGGUGCUGGAGGAUGAAAGCAGAAGAGGUCGAAGGACGAGAGAAUGAGGAACGCCGUCGAUUCGAAAAGUCUCCUCCUUAGGAAUUACCACUUGAUGCUCCAGUCCCCUUUUCAUCGGUUAUCGAGCUCGCCACGCGAACUAAGUACAGUGACAGCGUCCCGGUGACCAGGAAGCCCUCCGCCGCUCCGUCUGACCUUCGUCCGUACCAUCCGUGUCGUCCGCAAACGCCGUCAACGUCUGUCCCGAUCAUUAAAGUCCGAAGUCAAGUACCGUCCCGACUACUGCACAGUUACCGCCUACCUCUAGAAUUUCUUCUUGGACUUCAGGUAAAGAGCAGAAAGUCGACACCUCCUCCACCGAUGUAUACUAUGUCUUCUGGUAUAAAAACGACUGCCACUACUGAGGUGUUUGCGCUCGUCGACGACGCUCAGUUGAUGGUUUCAGCGAGCACCUAGGUGGUGGCUGCUGCUACUACCGCGGUGUUGUCGAUUCGCCCGUGCUGAACUACUUACUUUUUUGCCGGCGAAGGAGGCCUAAAACAAAAAAAAAAUAAAAAAGCGUGCGCAAAAACCGAAAAAUUUGCCCAAAGAAAAGGCCAAAAAGCUGCAAAACCAAAAGGUAGCUAGUAGGAAUCGAAAAGCUGUUUUUUUUAACGCGCUUUUUGUGCAAACAAAGAAGAAAGCGCUCUCAGUGCCAAAACGAAAGCGCUCGAGCCUUGCCUUUUUUUACGUAAAAGACAAUAAAAGGAAAGGGUUCUCAGUGCCAAAACGAAGACGCUCUCCAUGCCUACACAAAAGCGCUCUCAGUGCAGGCACGGACAGCUUUUGCUUUUUUUACACAAAAAACAAAAAAAAGAAAGCGUUAUUCGUACCAAAACGAAGGUACUCUCAGUGCCGACACGGAAAGCAUUUGCUUUUUUCUUGUGCAAAAGACAAAAGAAAAAGAAAGCGCUCUCAGUGCCAAAACGAAAGCGCUCUCCAUGCCAACACGAAAGCGCUCUCAGUGCCGGCACGGAGAGCCUUUGUUUUUUUUACGUAAAAGAUAAAAAAAAGGAAAGCGCUAUCAGUGCUAAAACGAAGGUGCUUUCCGUUCCAACACGAAAGCGCUCUCAGUGCUGGCACGGAGGAGCUUUUGCUUUUUUUUGUACAAAAGAGAAAAAAAAAGAAGGCGUUCCCAGUGCCAAAACAAAGGCGCUCUCCGUGCCAACACUAGUACUCUCCGUGCCCGCACGGAAAAAACCUUUCCCUUUUUUAGGCACGAGGACUAAGCCAAAAAAGCACUUUUUUCUCAAGCAGUUUUGGAUAGUUGUACCCUAGAUCAAAACUUCUAGAGCUGCGCUCCUUAGGUUACUACUAUCGCCAAGCUCUAUACCUGUGUGCCAAACUCUCUAUUUUGUAAAACUUAUUUACUUAAAUGCUUUUUUCUUUUUGAGAGUAACGGUGUUCACUGCGCUACGUACACGCAGUGAACAGUGUUGGUUCCCUCAAACUCACUAGAAACGUUACUCAUGAGGAGUUGAUCACUAUAGCUGAACAACUGGUAUGAACACAAAAGAUAGUAUUGUUAGGGGUGUUCCAAGGGAUUUUUUUUUUAGGGGUGUUCCACGUAUGGGAUAGGUGAGAGUGCCUUAUUUUGGUCGGUAAAUACGUUCCAAACACUAAAUAACAACCACAGAAAAAAAUUGAGCCUUCUUAUUCAUUUUAUUCUUAAAUAUAAUAAAAAGAAACUCAUUCAUUUUAUUCUUGUUUACUACAAGGUACGUGGUCUUUCGAUGUUUGUUUGAACGUACUGUUUUUUUCUCAAUUGCCAAAAAACGAAGGCUUUAUUUAGAAAUGGAUUAUUAUUUUGUUUGACCCAAAGAAAGCAGGCAGUACCGUAAAAAGUCUUUUCAGGGAGAUAAAGUCUCUUAAGUUGGACGUCAGGACAAUAUUCAGUUUUGCUUAACAAAAAAGCAUAAAAUGUGUUUUCAGAGACAUAAAAGAACUUUAGUUGGGCGGCAGGCCUAAAUUCAGUGUGGGCUUGGCAAUAAAAUGCAAAAAGUUUUUUUGGGACUGCAAAAUCCAUUAAGUAGGCGCCUAGUAUAAAUUUAGUUUGUUUAUGAAAAAAUUUAGUAGGUAUAGAAAAUUUGGCA
rnacentral:rRNA from 1 species